rnacentral:rRNA from 1 species
AACAAGGUCUCCGUUGGUGAACCAGCGGAGGGAUCAUUAUCGAGUUAUUCAACUCCCAAACCCUAUGUGAACUUACCACUUGUUGCUUCGGCGCGCGCUUCGGCGCCGCCGAGGACACUUAAACUCUUUGUUUUUAUAAGCAUUUCUGAGUGGCCGAAAGGCAAAAAUACAAAUGAAUCAAAACUUUCAACAACGGAUCUCUUGGUUCUGGCAUCGAUGAAGAACGCAGCGAAAUGCGAUAAGUAAUGUGAAUUGCAGAAUUCAGUGAAUCAUCGAAUCUUUGAACGCACAUUGCGCCCGCCAGCAUUCUGGCGGGCAUGCCUGUUCGAGCGUCAUUUCAACCCUCGAGCCCGACUCUUUUGAGGACGGCUCGGCGUUGGGGGACGGCAGACUCCCCCCGGCAUCUCGCCGGGGACGCCGCCCCCGAAAUCUAGUGGCGGCCCUCCGAGGCGACCUCUGCGUAGUAACUUGUUCUCGCACCGGAAAGCUCAGAGCGGCCACGCCGUAAAACCCCAACUUUUUUCAGGUUGACCUCGAAUCAGGUAGGACUACCCGCUGAACUUAAGCAUAUCAAU